CUCCAUUAGCAGAGCUUAGGCCGGCAGCAGUCAGAAAUGUCUGCUGGAGAAGACACUGCAAAGUGUCAGUGAGGGCGUUUGAGAAUUAAUUUUACCCUAGAGUAGCUGCGCAGGUCUGUUUAGCACUCACCUCUACAGUUUUGAACAUUCGAUAACACCAGAAUCAGUCUGAUGCCUUGAACACUUUACAUGAAGGGUUUUUCAAAAUCUAGCCACAAACAGAUAUGACCAGAUUUCAAAAAAUUUUGAGAAACUAGGAGGAAUCUAUUUUGACAAAGCCAAGCCACACAUAGGAUAGAGGCAGACAUGCGUGCCCUGGAAAGAAGAAAGUAGAAGGAUCAACUAAAAGAGCUCUCCCACUAAAUGGCUGUGGGCUCCUCUAAGAAACUGAAACAUGGAAGAAGGAAGGACCAGCCAGCCAGAACAGCAGUGGGUAUCAAGGAAUGAUAUAAAAGCAAGCUCAAGACAGUCAAGAUUCAAGGAGCUAUAUACCUUGCUUCCUUUCCAGAGCUGAAAUUUGAGUCAAGAGUCCAUUUCUUCCAUCUGGCCAGAUGAUCUCCAGGAUACUCUCAUAGGUACCACUGGGAACUUGGGGAUUACAGACCAUUUAAAC
rnacentral:lncRNA from 10 species